rnacentral:lncRNA from 1 species
AUGUACAGUCCAACUCAAUGUCCAUUAAAUCCGAUGUCCCGUGGCAACUAAGAAAUGGAACAGAAAACCAAGAGCAGAGAUCCGGGUCCACAGGAGAGUGUACCCAUGUGAGUGUUUGGUCCACUCCAUUUCAUUGCCCAUGGAGUCCAUACCUCCUCGCUUGACCGAUUUGGUCCAUGUUGGGUGAUAUCCCUUUUGAUGCGAAGCCGGCAUUGUAGUUUGUUCUCUAUUGCUGAUUUCGGCAUCCGAGCAUGCAUGGGUUUGGUCCCUUCAAGCCACCAGCUACGAGAAACAUGUGCAUCCCCGC